CCUGAGCUCAGACAAUCCGCUUGCCUCGGCCUCCCAAAGUGCUAGGAUUACAGGCAUGAGCCACCGCACCCGGCCCCGGAAUCUGCAUUUCAACAAGCUCUUCUGAUGGUUCCUCUGCAUCUGGGAGUCGAGAAGUUCUUGCUCUAUGGCCUCUGAAGUUGCUUCGAACCCAAUUCAGAAUCUCAACCCACUCCUCUGCCUUUUCUAGUCAUAGUUACUUUUCCUUAAGUGCCACACUGGCAUAAAGGCGUUCGAUGUUCCACUAUCUUUCCUGCAGGUGUUCAGCACAUGAUCGGUGGUUUCUAGGGUCUGCCAUGGGUCUUACUAAUUAUUUGGAACCAAAUAUAACAGAAAACAAGUUUGGAAUUCUAAAAAAUCCCUUAAAAACCUUUUUAAAAAAUCUUGGACACAGCAGCUGUGAAUGGUCUGGGCCUGCCUGUGCAGUUAUUGCUGAAAUUACUGGGGCUGUUGAGUAUUUGGAAAUCAAAUCCCAGAAGUGAAUUGGCUGUGCCAAUCAGUUGUAAAAGGAUCUGGCCCUGGGAGGUUUGAUGGGUAGGGGCAAAUGGGGACAUGGGAAGAGGGUGGGAGGCUUCAGGACUGCAUGAACUGAGUAGAAAGAUUUGGCCUUUGGGGACAGAGCAUGCAACGGGCAGCUGUUCCCGGUGACCUGGGCAUCUGGGACUUACUGAGGGAGAGACGUGAUCUUGGCCUAGCUGACCACCAUCGAAACCACUCAUCGGAGGCGUGGAUGCAGUUUGCUGGGAAGAUGAGCACCGAUCUGUCUGGUGGUCACAUGGAGGGCUUUGCAGAUCUCUGACACUGGAUAUUUCCCCUUGCCCUGGUGCCAAGGACUAGGGGAGAGAUCACUCUGGGCUUGAGUCAGGGACAGGGAUGCCAGGCACAGCGAAAGAAGAUGACUGUGGUACAAACCCAGCUGAUGAAGUGGAAAAUAAAUAAAAGAGAAGGAAUCAAGCUGGUUCAUGUAGGAAGCAUGCACACACUCAUCCCAUCCAUUGUUCCACAUCGGGCACCUCCCUGAGCUAGCUGCCACUCCUGCUGCACUCUGCCACUCCUUGGAAGGCAGCACAGGGCAGUGGUUAGAGCCUUCUCUUUCAGUGUCAGACAGGCCUGGGUUCAUGUCCAGGUCUGCCACUUUACUUACUAGCUGUGGGAUGCUGAUGAGCCCAAGCUCUCUCCUAGCCUGCUUCUUGAUCAGUAAAAUGACAAUGACUAGAGUACCUAGUAUAUGGAGUUACUGCAGGACUUGAAUGUGCCAAUACAUCUAACAUGCUUAGCAUAGGGCCUGAUCAUGGUUGGCAUUUGAUAAGUGCUAGUUGUUAUCAUUAUUAAUAUUACUAAUCAUCAAAGAAAGAUCUUCAGUUGGAUAUUUGGGCAAAAUUAUGAAAUUUAUCCCUAAUCUUUUGAUUUACAGAUUGGUGUGGAUCUGUUAUUAAGUGUUUUCUUUUUUUUUUUUUAAGUUAUCUUGUUUCCUGACUCCUGAAUUGAAGAGUGUUUCUUCUAUGAAUUUCUUUUCUUACAGAAAUAAAAUUGAAAGAACUUUUAGAGAACUGACAUGUUAGACACAGUCUUGAGCUUCAUAGAGAUCACAGUCUGUCAGGGGAGAAAGAGGACGAAAAUAAGCAAUUUCAGUACAGGGGAGGAACAUUUCAAAAGGGGAAUGUGGGGUGCUAGGAAGGAGGGAGAUGCAUGAACUUAACACACCUGUCACUUCUGAGCAACUGGUACUUCCAGCAGCCCCUCCUGCUGCCCCCUCCAUGCUUCCCUCUGAAAGCAACACCUAAUAAGCCAUUAAUAAGUCAGAAGAAAAGGUUUGCCAUGAAGAAAAGGCUCUAAGUAUAUUUCUUUUAGUUUCUUGAAAUUUUCAAGUCUGAUUUUAGGAAGUUGCCAUAACUUGAAAAAUUUCAAACACUGCAUGAGCAUCUAGCAAAAGCUUGUAAAAUAAAAUGAGUGCUCAUCACAUUUAGAGGAAUUAUAAAGGCAGCUGUGAUACAGGAAAAAGAGCCCUAGUCUUGGAGAGUGGAGCUGUGUAUGUGCCCUGGUUUCAGGUGCUGUAUGAUGAUAUCAGGCAUGGCACUAAACUACGAUGAGCCUCAGCUUCUUCAUCUGUAAACUGGGGAUGAGGACACCUACCUCCCAGGAUGGUAGAAGGACUACAUAUGAUUGUACUAGAUACAAAAGUAAAACAGUGAACAAACAGAUGAAGAUUGUUUAUCUGGGAGUUUAAAACCCAGAAUCUUCCAAACAACAGAAUGCUGAAAAUAGUAAAGACUAGCUAAGGUUUAAAAGACUAGCAUUUAUUGAAUCCUUACUGUGUCUAAGCAUGGAAGACAUUUUAUCUCAUUUAAUUCUCAUAACCUGUGAGAUAGAUACUCUCAUCAUCUGCAUAUUACAGGUGAGAAAACUGAGGCUCAGAAAAGUGAAGUAAUUUGUCCCAUAUUCCCAAACUAGCUAGUGUCAAAGCCUGACUUUUUGACACUGGAUGUUUUGAGCUCAGAGCACUUUUUUUUUUUUCUUGGACAUUUUGAGCUUAGAGCACAUCCUCUUUUAUGUUAUAUUCCUGUGCUUGUGUGUAUUAUCUCAUUUAAAACGCACAAUCCUAUGUGGCCUGUAUAUUAUUCCCAUUCAGUAUGUGAGGAAACUAAGUCACAGAGAGAAUAAAUAACUUUCUCAAGGUCACCAAGUAAGUAAACUGGAGUCAGGUUCAAACUCAGGCAGCCUGACUCCAGGGCGCUUCAACCACAAUGCUAAUGGAAUUAUUCUAAAAUGAUUUUAAAAACAAUCAUUCAUUUUCAAAAUCAUGGUAUCGGAAUGCGUGAAAAAAGACUUGCUAUGGCACAGAGAACAUUGUAAUGGGGUAACCCGCCAGGCUAGGAAUGACCCAGGUAUGACCACUGGUCAUGGCACAAGGCCCUUUCUGAGCAAUAUAGGCAGGGCAGAGCCUGCCAUGAUGGAAAUCACAGUAACAUCAUGGAGGUGGCGCUGGUAAAAAAAAAACCAGCUCUGCCCGAUGUGCAUCGAUUACAAGACCUGGUGGCGAACAUAUGUUUUACAGCCCUAAAUUGCAUUCGUGCAAAUAUUUAUCAUCCAUCCCCUGCCAAAUCCGCAUAAUGGAAAAACAAACCAAAGGAAAACCUCCAGAGGAUGUGAAGGCUAUAUCAAGUCUCUUGCCAAUUGUUGUGCUCUUUGGGCGUAAUAUAUCUAAAUCUUAGUAAUUCCAGGAUUUCCAGUAAUCUGGAAUAUCCGCUACCCUGUCCUGAAAGCCCUCCUCCAGCAGUGGGCCGCCCAACUUGAGUUCGCUCAAUUUCCUCUUUCACCUGCAGGUGGCAGCACGAGUGCCGAUCGCUGUCAGGCGAGGGCGCUCAGGGGUGGGAGCCGAAGAGAGUAAUUUAGGGAUAGAGGUGAGAACGGAGUUAGACACAAAAGUAAGAUCACAUGAACUCCGACUUCGGAUGGAACACAUCAUCCAUUUAAACCCUCGAGCCGAGCUCAACUGGAAACUCCACCUAAGCUGGAAGAGACUUGAGCUUGCAAGUGAAAUAAGCCAGAGAAUUUUGAAGAUAUAAAAAGGCGCAUCUCAAUUCCGUGUGGCGGGCAAAAAAUAAAGGAGCAGAUUGUGACAGACCAUUCCCAUCGGCCAUGCGGGCGAACCCAACGUCCUUUUACAUUGAAGAACCCAACGGGGCCUUUUACAUUGCGGAUGAUGGACCGGCUCGUGACGUCCAUGAAUUUCACGCGCACCUGUGUGCACUGUCCCUGAGAGCCGGUCCUGCCCAGGACCUUGGUGACCCUGGCCAGCUUGAUAGGCUGCACACGGCUGGUGUUCAUGAUGGCGGCGCAGCGACGAUGUGGCG
rnacentral:lncRNA from 1 species